rnacentral:rRNA from 1 species
UACGGAGGGUGCAAGCGUUAUCCGGAUUCACUGGGUUUAAAGGGUGCGUAGGUGGGUUGGUAAGUCCGUGGUGAAAUCUCCGAGCUUAACUCGGAAACUGCCGUGGAUACUAUCAAUCUUGAAUACUGGUGGAGGUAAGCGGAAUAUGUCAUGUAGCGGUAGAAAUGACUUAGAUAUGACAUAGAACACCGAUAGCGGAGGCAGCUUGCUACACAGUCAUUGACACUGAGGCACAGAAAAGCGUGGGGAUCAAACAGG